rnacentral:rRNA from 1 species
GCAAGUCGAGCGGUAACAGACAUAAAGAUUCAGCUUGCUGAAUCCGGUGCUGACGAGCGGCGAACGGGUGAGUAACGCGUAGGAAUCUACCCAGUAGCGGGGGAUAGCCCGAGGAAACUCGGAUUAAUACCGCAUACGCCCUGAGGGGGAAAGGGGGCAAUUUAUUGCUCUCACUAUUGGAUGAGCCUGCGUAAGAUUAGCUUGUUGGUAGGGUAAUGGCCUACCAAGGCGACGAUCUUUAGCUGGUCUGAGAGGACGAUCAGCCACAUUGGGACUGAGACACGGCCCAGACAUCUACGGAUGGCAGCAGUUAAGAAUAUUGGACAAUGGGGGCAACCCUGAUCCAGGUAUACCGCGUGUGUGAAGAAGGCCCUAGGGUUGUAAAGCACUUUAAUCAGAGAAGAAGCAUUUUAAGUUAAUACCUUAAUUUGUUGACGUUAACUGAAGAAUAAGGACCGGCUAACUCCGUGCCAGCAGCCGCGGUAAUACGGAGGGUCCAAGCGUUAAUCGGAAUUACUGGGCGUAAAGCGCGCGUAGGCGGUUUAGCAAGUUGUAUGUGAAAGCCCUGGGCUCAACCUAGGAACUGCAUCCAAAACUACUAAGCUAGAGUACGAGAGAGGAGAGUAGAAUUUCUGGUGUAGCGGUGA